rnacentral:rRNA from 1 species
GACGAACGCUGGCGGCGUGCUUAACACAUGCAAGUCGAACGAAGUGGCGCACGGGUGAGUAACGCGUAAUCAACCUGCCCUUCAGAGGGGGACAACAGUUGGAAACGACUGCUAAUACCUCAUACUGAAGGAGGGGAUUGCGUCGGAUGCGCUAGUUGGAGGGGUAACGGCCCACCAAGGCGAUGAUCAGUAGCCGGGUCGGGAGGAUGAACGGCCACAUUGGGACUGAGAAAAGGCCCAGACUCCUACGGGAGGCAGCAGUGGGGGAUCUUCCGCAAUUGAGGACAGUCUGACGGAGCAAAGCCGCGUGAGUGAUGACGGCCUUCGGGUUGUAAAGCUCUGUUCAUCGAGACGCGGUACCGGAAUAGAAAGCCACGGCUAACUACGUGCCAGCAGCCGCGGUAAUUC